rnacentral:rRNA from 1 species
UACGUAGGGGGCAAGCGUUGUCCGGAAUCAUUGGGCGUAAAGCGCGUGUAGGCGGCUUCGUAAGUCCGUUGUGAAAGUCCAGGGCUCAACCCUGGAAUGCCGAUGGAUACUGCGGAGCUAGAGUCCGGAAGAGGCGAGUGGAAUUCCUGGUGUAGCGGUGAAAUGCGCAGAUAUCAGGAGGAACACCAGUGGCGAAGGCGGCUCACUGGUCCGGUACUGACGCUGAGGUGCGAAAGCGUGGGGAGCAAACAGG